AGAGUUUGAUCAUGGCUCAGAACGUACGCUGGCGGCACGCCUAACACAUGCAAGUCGAACGAAGUAGCAAUACUUAGUGGCAGACGGGUGAGUAACAUGUAGGUAUCUGCCCUUUGGCCUGGAAUAACACGAGGAAACUUGUGCUAAUACCGGAUAAGUCUUUACGGAGAAAGCUUUAUGCACCAUUGGAUGAGCCUGCACUUGAUUAGUUUGUUGGUGGGGUAAUGGCCUACCAAGACUGUGAUCAAUAGCUGAUUUGAGAGGAUGAUCAGCCACAUUGGGACUGAGACACGGCCCAAACUCCUACGGGAGGCAGCAGUGGGGAAUCUUGCACAAUGGAGGAAACUCUGAUGCAGCGAUGCCGCGUGAGUGAAGAAGGCCCUUGGGUUGUAAAGCUCUUUCGUCGGGGAAGAAAAUGACUGUACCCGAAUAAGAAGGUCCGGCUAACUUCGUGCCAGCCGCCGCGGUAAUAC
rnacentral:rRNA from 1 species